rnacentral:rRNA from 1 species
CCAAUAGCGUAUAUUAAAGUUAUUGCAGUUAAAAAGCUCGUAGUUGAAUUUCGGGAUCAGUUCGUCGGUCGUGCCUUUGGUAUGUACUGGUGUUACUGGUUCCUCCCUUCUGACGAACCGUCAUGUCAUUAAUUUGGUGUGGCGGGAAAUCAGAACUGUUACUUUGAAAAAAUUAGAGUGUUUAAAGCAGGCUCGCGCUUGAAUACAUUAGCAUGAAAUAAUGAAAUAGGACGUUCGAUCCUAUUUUGUUGGUUUCUAGGAUUGACGUAAUAAUUAAUAGGGAUAGUUAGGGGUAUUAUUAUUCAAUUGUCAGAGGUGAAAUUCUUGGAUGUACUGAAGACUAACUACUGCGAAAGCAUUUGCCAAGGAUGUUUUCAUUAAUCAAGAACGAAAGUUAGGGGGUCGAAGACGAUCAGAUACCGUCGUAGUCUUAACCAUAAACUAUGCCGACUAGGGAUCGGAUGAUGUUAAUUUUUUAAUGACUCAUUCGGCGCCUUACG